rnacentral:tRNA from 1 species
UUAGAAUGAAAUCGUUUGAUGUUUCUUUUACAAGGAAAGUGGGUUAUUUAGACCAUUCUGAG